rnacentral:rRNA from 1 species
GUGUCAGCGGCAGACGGGUGAGUAACACGUGGGAACGUACCCUUUGGUUCGGAAUAACGCUGGGAAACUAGCGCUAAUACCGGAUACGCCCUUUUGGGGAAAGGCUUGCUGCCGAAGGAUCGGCCCGCGUCUGAUUAGCUAGUUGGUGGGGUAAUGGCCUACCAAGGCGACGAUCAGUAGCUGGUCUGAGAGGAUGAUCAGCCACACUGGGACUGAGACACGGCCCAGACUCCUACGGGAGGCAGCAGUGGGGAAUAUUGGACAAUGGGCGCAAGCCUGAUCCAGCCAUGCCGCGUGAGUGAUGAAGGCCUUAGGGUUGUAAAGCUCUUUUGUCCGGGACGAUAAUGACGGUACCGGAAGAAUAAGCCCCGGCUAACUUCGUGCCAGCAGCGGCGGUAAUUGAUCGUGGCCGUGGCUCUAGAGCAGCGGGGGGGGGGGGGGACCCUAGGUCCUUCAUAUUGGUGGGGUGGUUGGGGGUGGCUCAUU